UGAUUAUGUCAGACUUGUAGGAGAAAAAGAAGAGACACGACUGGCUGCCCGGCUGAAGCGAGGGGAUGUGGAAUAUGUCAUCGCUGCCAGGUGGAGGGAUCAGGUGACCUUGCUUGCCAUCUCGGCAGGAAGGGAGGAAAAGUUAAUGUGUUCACGCGACGACGUCUAGGUUUCCCCCCCGAUACAUCUCGCCUGUCAUUGGUUAAUUAUUAAGUGUGGGAAAAAGAGGCUUGUAUAUCAAAGGGCAUGGUAGAUAUGGCACCACAUUAACACCGGAUGGCUCAGCCCACAGAAGAACGCUGUCAUUUUUCAUCAUACCCCAAAUUGAUUGGUAUCUACAGGAUUUAUUGAAGAGCAAAACCAUUCACAAGACCUCAAGGUUUCUGGCUGUAAUGCUAAGGACCUGAAGUUAACAGCGUGGCGGAUGCUCUACAUUGCAUUCUGUCAAACUGCCUUGCCAUUGCCACAACCUGGACUGGGGCAGAGCAUAAGGCCUGUUUGAGGGACUUGUUUCUGAAGACCAUUCUUCACAAAGCCAUUCGGAAGAACCCAGGAUGCCAUGGAUAAGGGGGUCCAGAUUCAGGUCACCCUUUAGCUGAAAGGGGCCUCCGAUUGUGAAGGCGGGAGAAGGUGGCGGACAGGGGAGAGGGAUCCGCUGCAGUGAGGGUCAGCAUCAAGUCUCGGACCAUUUAUCUCAAAACCAGCCUCUACCCCCAAGCCACAAGACUGAUCCAACAGCUGAACCCUGGACUGACUCCUGCACCCUACCACACACUUACCAUUUAUUCAUAUUCUGUACACACUUAAAUCACUUUAGUCUACCAGACCAAUGAAAUAGUUAUGUCACCUAACUGCACUACGUAGAUAUACUUUCAUUAUAAUUCUAUGCUGAUACUGCACUGUAGUUAUUAGGCCUAAGCACAUGGGCAAAAAAAUGUCCAUACUAUAUGAAUGUAGGCUAUUUUGGUUUUAAUCUUAAGGCUAUUUUGGUUUGAUCUUAUUCUUAUUUACAUCUUAUUUUCUUUGAUCUGCAUGCUUCUUUUGCACUUGUUUUUAUUGUUUUAUUGUUAGUACAUCACAUAGUAA
rnacentral:lncRNA from 1 species